rnacentral:lncRNA from 10 species
UGAAGUCCUUGCCCAUCCCUAUGUCCUGAAUAGUAUUGCCUAGGUUUUCUUCUAGGGUUUUUACGGCUUUAGGUCUAACAUUUAAGUCUUUAAUCCAUCUUGAAUUAAUUUUUGUAUAAGGUGUAAGGAAGGGAUCCAGUUUCAGCUUUCUACAUAGGGCUAGCCAGUUUUCCCAGCACUAUUUAUUAAGUAGGGAAUCCUUUCUGCAUUUCUUGUUUUUGUCAGGUUUGUCAAAGAUCAGAUGGUUGUAGAUGUGUGGUAUUAUUUCUGAGGGCUCUGUUCUGUUCCAUUGGUCUAUAUGUCUGUUUCGGUAGCAGUACCAGGCUGUUUUGGUUACUGUAGCCUUGUAGUAUAGUUUGAAGUCAGGUAGCAUGAUGCCUCCAGCUUUGUUCAUUGGGCUUAGGAUUGUCUUGGCAAUGUGGGCUCUUUUUUGGUUCCAUAUGAACAUUAAAGUAGUCUUUUGCAACUCUCAUCAGCCCAGUUUAAUAUUACCUAUUUAUUAUAAUGUAAUGCUGCUCGCACAACUGAGAAAACACUGUUGCUUUACCCCCUCCAGCUCUGUAGCAGCCACGCAGAAAUCAUAGAACUGUAAACACAUGCUAAUUACACAACCUAUGUAGACAAUCAAUAUUAAGAAAAAUUUUUACUGCCCAGUAUUUCUGUGGUUGAAAAUGUAGAGUCUAAUUUUGAUCCACAGUAACAUCUAGGUUAAUGUUGAUUCAGAAGGAAAACGUUUGUUGUUGCCAUGAGAAGAGGCAUUGAAAUGCUGAAUCACCAUCACAAAUGUUACCACUAUUAAUAUAAGGAGAUACAUAGGAAGAUGGAAUUAGACCAUCUCGGACCACCAGGUUUACAAUUCCACCUGCAGAUACAUGCAAGAAGUAUUGUCACAAUACUUAUGUCACGUUAUUCCGUUGAGGUCAUCACCAACUAAGCUUAUCAUUAAUGUGUGGUCAAUUUGGUCAAUGUCACCAGCAUAACAUACUAACAAAAACAAGGGCUGCAAACUCAAAUGCCUAUAAGGCAGAACGUAAGACGGUAGGAAGCAAAGUCUAUAGGGAGCUAUAUAAUAGAGGCUGCAGAUUCAUGGCAGAUUCUAAAGCACAGCAGUCCCCAACAUUUUUGGCACCAGGGACCGGCUUUGUGGAAGACAAUUUUUCCACAGGCGGCAAGGGAUGGGGCGCAGGAUGGUAAUGGUCUUGGGAUGAAACUGUUCCACCACAAAUCAUCAGGAAUUAGAUUCUCAUAAGGAAUAUGCAACCUGGAUCCCUCGUGUGUGCAAUUCACAACAGGGUUCAUGCUCCUGUAAGAAUCUAAUGAUGCUGCUGAUCUGACAGGAGGCAGAGCUCAGGCAGCAAUGCAAGCAAUGGGGAGCAGCCAGAAAUACAGACGAAGCUUCAAUUGUUACCCACCAUUCACCUCCUGCUCUGUGGCCCAGUUCCUAACAGGCCACAGACCAGUACAUGUCCAUGGCCCAGGGGUCAGGGACCCCUGCUGUGGCACAUUGCUAAUAGAGGACUGUAGCAG